CCUACGGGUGGCUGCAGUGGGGAAUAUUGGACAAUGGGGGGAACCCUGAUCCAGCCAUGCCGCGUGUGUGAAGAAGGCCCUCGGGUUGUAAAGCACUUUCAGUGAGGAAGAACGCCUGGUGGUUAAUACCCAUCAGGAAAGACAUCACUCACAGAAGAAGCACCGGCUAACUCCGUGCCAGCAGCCGCGGUAAUACGGAGGGUGCGAGCGUUAAUCGGAAUUACUGGGCGUAAAGCGCGCGUAGGUGGCUUGAUAAGCCGGUUGUGAAAGCCCCGGGCUCAACCUGGGAACGGCAUCCGGAACUGUCAAGCUAGAGUGCAGGAGAGGAAGGUAGAAUUCCCGGUGUAGCGGUGAAAUGCGUAGAGAUCGGGAGGAAUACCAGUGGCGAAGGCGGCCUUCUGGACUGACACUGACACUGAGGCGCGAAAGCGUGGGUAGCAAACAGGAUUAGAUACCCGUGUAGUC
rnacentral:rRNA from 1 species